rnacentral:rRNA from 1 species
AGGACUACACUGUCUCCUUUUUCUAAUCAAUGAAACUGAUCUCCUCGUGAAGAAGCGAGGAUAAAUAUAUAAGACGAGAAGACCCUAUGGAGCUUUAAACAACCGGGAUAUUUGCUAAUUCAUAAUAUAUCUUCUGAAAACUAAACAAAUUAAAGCAUCUUACCCCCAAGUUUUAGGUUGGGGUGACCACGGAGAAAAAAUUAACCUCCAUGUUGUAAGAAGUCUACCAUCUUCUAAGCUUAGAGUCACAUCUCCAAGCAUCAACACAUUGACUCUCAUUGACCCAAUAAUUUGAUCAACGAACCAAGUUACCCUAGGGAUAACAGCGCAAUCUACUUUAAGAGCUCAUAUCGACAAGUAGGUUUACGACCUCGAUGUU